rnacentral:lncRNA from 10 species
GACAACCUGAGCAUCAUUUCGCUAAAGAGCUCUAAUUGUCCUCUUCCUUGAGUUGCAUUACCAAGGGCCCUUUCGACAGUGUGUACCAGGUUCCAAGGUGGGAAGGGAUGGAAGCAGCCUAUGGAGAGUAGAAAAACCCCAUCCCAUCAUAAUGGACUUUCAUUUCCAGAACCCACCCCCACACUCAUGCUGUCUACUACAGCACAAUGUAUGCCUAUGACUUAGGAGGAUUUAGCACUCUGUGAGGCUAAACUUCUAUUUCUUCUCUCUCCACGCAGGCAAAGCUGUUUGCAUAUUAGCCCUGAAGCUUGUGCAGUGAGGCAGGAUAGAGGAAUGGGAACAGCUGGAGCCAGAGAGACCUGCUGGGAAUCUGGGCUCAGCCACUUUUGACCUGCAUGGUUUCUUGCAAGUCAGGGACCCUGAGCGUAUCUCUCUUCUCCUUGCAGCUCAGAGCUGGACCAAAGCAGCUGUCGAUCCUUUGCCUCUUUGCACUUUGGAGCCCAGUCCUGAUGGGACCAGGUGUCAGAGCCCUGCCAAAUCUGUGAGAAGGGUGGAAGCAAGUUUCCCUGAGGGAAAAAAAAACAACAAAAAAAAACCUUCUGGAAUUGGGAAAAAUUUAGGUCAACAUCAUUUGAACCUUGACCUCUUGCUCUUUUGUCCCCGGGUGGACAUUUCCUUGACCUCCAGAAAUUCCUCCACCUCAAGGGAAGACUUCUUGCCCCCCUCACUUCCAGAGGCCUCCAAAGUGGGCUGGGAAGAGAUUUAAAGCAGGACCCUGGGAAGCAUGAUGAGACUCUGGAGUGUAGAGAGGCUUCCCUGCAAUGCAAAGAUCUUCAAAGGCCAAGCCCAAGGCACUGCAACCCCCAGGAGGGCCCACUCCAAAGCAGAACAGUGGAGGGAGAGCCUGCGUGUCAAGAAGCCUGGACAGCAAGACCCCCUACUGUGGCAGCCAGCCUGCUUGUAGGAGUCCUGAGAAGCCUAAUUCAAUUACCCUUAUCAGAAUGUCUCUGAACUUAACAAAGCAGAUAAUGAGUUCCAGAGACAGAUACUGCUUGGGGGGCCAAAAUUAUUUUGCUUCCCCAAAUUGGAGGCUGAAAUUGGAGAUGUUUGAAUAAUGGAAAACAUAAUCCUUCCCUAGGCCCAACCCCCUCCCAGUACCCACACCUGAGACACCCUUUCAACCAAGGAGCCUGGAUUCAACAUCCAUGCCGUCUCUCCUCCUGAAGACACCUGGUCAUGAACUCGACCUCUUUCCCCCACCAUCUUUGUGCCAUCGAUGGAAGGAAGCUGCGUACAGGAUGGAAGUGGGAGGGGAAAGGGAUUAACAUUUAUGGAGCCCUCCCCUCUAUGUGUCAGCUACAUAACACAUAGCAUUCAUUUCAACCACAGAACAUAUGUCUUUACAUUACAGAAGGCAACGGAGAACUGGAAAAGUUAACUUACUGCCUGAGGACCCAUCCCCAUCUCACCAGCAGCACAGUCAGAUUCAGACACAGGUAUUCAACUUUGCAACACACUGUGCCUCACGGCCUGUGUGCUCAACAUCAGAAAUCAAAUAGAAACUCCCUCAUUCUAAGAUUCAUAGCCAUCCUCCGAGAUAUGACAUAGCGACCUCUCCUCCGUGAACAGGGAAACAGACUGAGAGGAUAACCUAACUCUCCCAAGGCCAGAGUAUCCACUGGGAUAUGCAGCCAAGUCAGCCAGCAGUUGAAACAAGGGCUCUCUGUGCUAUCUCACAUCUGAAUUGAAUUGUUUCCUACAGACUUCUCAUAGCUCUCUAGGCAAGGAAUACAUCUUCUCACCUUCCCACACUAAGAAAGGCCUCUGUCUGAGCCUGGGUGCCGGGUGGCCAGGAUUCCUGCUGAACGUUCAGGAGCUUUCCAUCUCCAGAGGUCACCUGCUGCUCCAAGGAGGAUGAGAGACCUAUGGGGAAGACCUGGACCCAAUCUGAAGUUAGAACUAAGUGCAACUGAGCCCAGCCUGGAUUAACCAACUCCCAGCCAAUCCACAGACACCUGGGUAAGAAUACAUGAAUGUUGU